AUCAACGCUGGCGGCGCGCUUAACACAUGCAAGUCGAACGGGAAAGUGGGGCAACCCAUGAGUAGAGUGGCGUACGGGUGAGUAACACGUGGAUGAUCUACCUCUUAGUGGGGAAUAACCCUGGGAAACCGGGGCUAAUACCGCAUAAGCACGGAAGUGGAAAGCAGCAAUGCGCUGGGAGAGGAGUCCGCGGCCGAUUAGCUAGUUGGUGAGGUAAGAGCCCACCAAGGCAAAGAUCGGUAGCCGGCCUGAGAGGGCACACGGCCACACUGGCACUGACACACGGUCCAGACUCCUACGGGAGGCAGCAGUAAGGGAUAUUGCACAAUGGGCGAAAGCCUGAUGCAGCAACGCCGCGUGGAGGAAGAAGGCCUUCGGGUUGUAAACUUCUUUUGACGCUGACGAGGAAGGACGGUAGGGCGUCGAAUAAGUCACGGCUAACUACGUGCCAGCAGCCGCGGUAAAACGUAGGUGGCGAGCGUUAUCCGGAUUUACUGGGCGUAAAGCGUGUGCAGGCGGAGUGGUAAGUGGUGUAUGAAAUCUCCCAGCUUAACUGGGAGGGGUUAUGCCAGACUGCCAUUCUAGAGUGCGAGAGAGGAGCGUGGAAUUCCGGGUGUAGUGGUGAAAUGCGUAGAGAUCCGGAGGAACCCCAGAGGCGAAGGCGGCGCUCUGGCUCGCAACUGACGCUCAGACACGACAGCAUGGGGAGCGAACGGGAUUAGAAACCCCGGUAGUCCAUGCCGUAAACGAUGUCAACUAGGCGCUGAGGGUAUCAACCCCCGCGGUGCCGAAGCAAACGCGAUAAGUUGACCGCCUGGGGAGUACGGCCGCAAGGCUAAAACAUCAAAGGAAUUGACGGGGACCCGCACAAGCAGGGGAGCGUGUGGUUUAAUUCGAUGGUACACGAAGAACCUUACCAGGGCCUGACAUCCUCGGAAUCCCGUAGAAAUACGGGAGUACCCGCAAGGGACCGAGAGACAGGUGAUGCAUGGCCGGCGUCAGCUCGUGUCGUGAGAUGUAGGGUUAAGUCCCUUAACGAGCGCAACCCUCGUCGCAAGUUAGAUUUGUCUUGUGAGACCUGCCCCGGUAACGGGGAGGAAGGAGAGGAUGACGUCUGGUCCGCAUUUCCCUUAUGCUCUGGACCACACACACGCUACAAUGGCCGGUACAAUGGGUCGCUACGUCGCGAGACUUUAGCUAAUCCUUGUAAAAGCCGGUCUCAGUUCGGAUUGUAGGCUGAAACUCGCCUGCAUGAAGCCGGAAUCGCUAGUAACCGUGGGUCAGCACACCACGGUGAAUACGUUCCCGGGUCUUGUACACACCGCCCGUCAAAGCACGAAAGUUGGCAAUACCUGAAGCUGUUUUUUUGACAUCCAAGGUAGGGCCAGCGAUUGGGCUUAAGUCGUAACAAGGUAA
rnacentral:rRNA from 1 species